UGAUCUCAUUCCAGAUUUUUUUUCUUUAAAUAAAAUCACAGAGAAAGAACGUUUUGCUGUAUAUUUAUAGAGAUGAGGCAUAGUAAAUGUCAAUAGAGUUGAUGUGAGUUGCCACCCACAGAAUAAGCAGUUCAAUAGCGUAGAAACAUGUAAACCAAAGUUUAUCUAAUUCCCAUUGUGAAUCAAAGCAAAUUUCAUUAUUCAAGAUACAUUAUCAUAUUACUAUAAUGCAAUAUUUAUAAAAAAACAUGUUUCACUGAUUUCUUAAUACAAAUAUGCCUAAAUUGAUACCAUUCAAGUAAAAGGCCAAUGAAAAUAUAUAUAUUUCUAUUAUAUUUCUAUAGUGAAUUCUCCCUAUGAAAACUUUUAUUUUGCAUUUACAAUUUUUACCUGUCUUAAGAAAUAGCUCAGUUGAAUCAGAGAUAGGCAAACAAAAUUGACCUUAGACUUGAAAAAAAAAAAUCAUGAAUUUAUGUGAUAAGGCUAAAUGUCACCCUGAUACAAGAAGCCAGCACCCUGGACAAUACAGAACUAAGGUCAUUAUUUCUGCUUACAUGCCUUCAGAAAUUCAAAAGAAAAAUUAUUUUCAAAUGAUGGGAUACAAUACACUUAAUAUUAUCUAUGUAAUAUAUAAUAUUAAAUAUGAAUACAAGUGAUUCAUUAUACCUGUUUUUAAUUAUAUGAAUAAAUUUGACUGACUUGAUAUUUUAGCAAUGUGUACUAUUUUAAAAUAUAUUCAUUCACUGAAAGACAUGUUUUGGCUUGGUGUAGGCCUAUUUUUAAAAUUGCUUUUGAUCCAACUGCCUGAUGAGCUUGGCCGGUGGGGGGGGGGGCCUUGACUUGUUCGAUGGGGGGCUUAACCCCACUGGCGCCGCCACUUGACCAAUCAUCCGUUUGUAAAAAGUCUGAAUACAUCUCUGAUUAUCAAACACCAUUUGAGAUUUUAUGAUACAGAUAGAAGAAUGGAAGUGUUAGAAAACAAAAAAACAAAAUGCUAGGCUACUAACUAACACCAAUGAAUAUUUGAAAAGGUUUAAAUCGUAUUUUGCUUGCUCAAAUAUUUACAAAUGAUCAAACAUUCUACUGUCAAAACCCACUCUCAAACUUGGAAAUUAAAAAAAAAUUCUAAAGAGAACACCCAUUUUAAUUUACUUAUUGUAUAC